AAACAAGAUAAGCAGGCCAUCAAGUGUAUGGUGGUGGGAGAUGGAGCUGUAGGUAAAACUUGCCUAUUGAUCAGUUAUGCAACAUUGCAUUUCCUGGAGAGUAUAUCCCCACUGUUUUUUGACAACUAUUCUGCCAAUGUUAUGGUAGAUGGGAAACCAGUGAAUCUGGGCUUAUGGGAUACAGCUGGACAAGAAGAUUAUGACAGAUUGCGUCCCCUCUCCUAUCCACAAACAGAUGUUUUCAUCAUUUGAAAAUGUCUGUGCAAAGUGGUAUCCGGAAGUGCGACACCAUUGUCCCAACACUCCUAUCAUCCUAGUGGGAACUAAACUUGAUCUUAGGGAUGAUAAAGACACAAUUGAGGAACUGAAGGAGAAGAAGCUGACUCCCAUCACCUAUCCACAAGAGUUAGUCAUGGCUAAGGAGAUUGGUGCUGUAAAAUACCUGGAGUGUUCAGCACUCCCACAGCGAGGCCUCAAGACUGUUUGAUGAAGCUAUCCGAGCAGUUCUCUGCCCACCUCCUGUCAAGAAGAGGAAGAGAAAAUGCCUGCUGCUGUAAAUGUCCAAGUCCCUCGUUCUUGAUCCUGCCCCUUGGAACCUUUGUAUGCUUUGCUCAAUAACAGU